rnacentral:piRNA from 2 species
UGCUUGGUAGUCAGGGCACACUUGGCUU